rnacentral:rRNA from 1 species
AUUGAACGCUGGCGGCAGGCUUAACACAUGCAAGUCGAGCGGGGUGAUGGUGCUUGCACUAUCACUUAGCGGCGGACGGGUGAGUAAUGCUUAGGAAUCUGCCUAUUAGUGGGGGACAACAUCUCGAAAGGGAUGCUAAUACCGCAUACGUCCUACGGGAGAAAGCAGGGGAUCACUUGUGACCUUGCGCUAAUAGAUGAGCCUAAGUCGGAUUAGCUAGUUGGUGGGGUAAAGGCCUACCAAGGCGACGAUCUGUAGCGGGUCUGAGAGGAUGAUCCGCCACACUGGGACUGAGACACGGUCCAGACUCCUACGGGAGGCAGCAGUGGGGAAUAUUGGACAAUGGGCGAAAGCCUGAUCCAGCCAUGCCGCGUGUGUGAAGAAGGCCUUCGGGUUGUAAAGCACUUUAAGCGAGGAGGAAUGGCUCUGGGUUAAUACCCUUGAGCAGUGACGUUACUCGCAGAAUAAGCACCGGCUAACUCUGUGCCAGCCGCCGCCGUAA